UCCCCAAAACAUGGUCAGGUCUGUCACAACAAUACCCCACUAUGAUGGUAUCAAUCUGUCUUAGUUAGGGUUUCUAUUGUUGCUAUGAAACACCAUGACCAUAAAGCAAGUUGGGAAGGAAAGGAUUUAUUUGGCUCACACUUCUACAUUGCUGUUAAUCACUGAAGCAAGUCAGAACAGGAACUCAAACAGGACAGAAUCCUGGAGUCAGGAGCUGAUGCAGAGGCCAUGGAGAUGCCUGUUGGUUUUCUAGCAAGAGACAGAAAGCCUGUUGAUCCAGACGGGAGUGGAGAUGAAGAAGAACUGGAAGAGGUGGGUGGGGGGAAACAUCAUCAAUCUAUUUUAUGAAAAAUAUUUAUGUUAAUAAAAGUAAUAGGAAUAAAUUAA